rnacentral:SRP_RNA from 1 species
GCCGAGCCAAGUAGCGAUGGCUUGUCACCCGAGCGGGGGCAAUAAGGUGGUGCGGAUGCCUGGUCGUUUGCGCUUGUGCCUGGUCCUGUGUUUCGCUCAGUGCGGCCCGCCCGUUCCAAGUUGCGUAGCGUGUAUUGGGCGCCCUGGCGAAAGCUAGAGCGUCCCUGCACCUAGAGUGGCGGGUAUUGCGUGAGGCUGGGUUUCACAGAGCAGCGAGUACCGUCCGCUUCCAACGGUGGAAGGAUAACGGGCCGCUGUAGCCCUGGCCCGCUUCCGGCCCAUGUGCCUUCCAUGGCAGACCACCAUCUUU